UACAGAGGGUGCGAGCGUUGUCCGGAAUCACUGGGCGUAAAGGGCGCGUAGGCGGCCUGAUAAGUAGGGGGUGAAAUCCUGCGGCUUAACCGCAGGGCUGCCUUCUAAACUGUCAGGCUCGAGCACAGUAGAGGCAGGUGGAAUUCCCGGUGUAGCGGUGGAAUGCGUAGAGAUCGGGAAGAACAUCGGUAGCGAAGGCGGCCUGCUGGGCUGUUGCUGACGCUGAGGCGCGACAGCGUGGGGAGCAAACAGG
rnacentral:rRNA from 1 species